rnacentral:rRNA from 1 species
CCUACGGGUGGCAGCAGUGGGGAAUAUUGGACAAUGGGGGGAACCCUGAUCCCGCCAUGCCGCGUGUGUGAAGAAGGCCCUCGGGUUGUAAAGCACUUUCAGUGAGGAAGAACGCCUGGUGGUUAAUACCCAUCAGGAAAGACAUCACUCACAGAAGAAGCACCGGCUAACUCCGUGCCAGCAGCCGCGGUAAUACGGAGGGUGCGAGCGUUAAUCGGAAUUACUGGGCGUAAAGCGCGCGUAGGUGGCUUGAUAAGCCGGUUGUGAAAGCCCCGGGCGCAACCUGGGAACGGCAUCCGGAACUGUCAAGCUAGAGUGCAGGAGAGGAAGGUAGAAUUCCCGGUGUAGCGGUGAAAUGCGUAGAGAUCGGGAGGAAUACCAGUGGCGAAGGCGGCCUUCUGGACUGACACUGACACUGAGGUGCGAAAGCGUGGGUAGCAAACAGGAUUAGAUACCCCAGUAGUC